GGAGUCUUGGCGCAAUGGUAGCGCGUUGGUUUUCGGUUCUGUGCCUGUUCACCAAAGGUUGUGGGUUCGAGUAUGUUCAAACCCAUUGAUCUU